rnacentral:rRNA from 1 species
GGCGGACUGGUGAGUAACACGUGGAUGAUCUACCCGAGGCAUGGGGAUAGUCACUAGAAAUAGUGGGUAAUACCGAAUACGGUGCGCAUCGUGAGGGUGCGCAAGAAAGGUGCUACGGCACCGGCCUAGGAUGAGUCUGCGUCCCAUUAGCUGGUUGGUGAGGUAAGAGCCCACCAAGGCGAUGAUGGGUAGCCGGCCUGAGAGGGUGUACGGCCACACUGGGACUGAGAUACGGCCCAGACUCCUACGGGAGGCAGCAGCUAAGAAUAUUCCGCAAUGGACGAAAGUCUGACGGAGCGACGCCGCGUGGAUGAAGAAGGCCGAAAGGUUGUAAAGUUCUUUUGUUGGGGAAGAAUAACCAUGGGAGGGAAUGCCCGUGGGAUGACAUGAACCGACGAAUAAGCCCCGGCUAACUACGUGCCAGCAGCCGCGGUAACACGUAGGGGGCGAGCGUUGUUCGGAAUUACUGGGCGUAAAGGGCAUGUAGGCGGUCUUGUAAGCUUG